AUGAGUGAUUCAAAAUGUUGGUUUAGUUAAUCAGGUUUUAAUAAGUAACAGUUUGCAUCAUGUGUCAUGCUUAGUUUAUGUUACAGGGUAGCAUAUGUCACAUGUCAUAGAAUCCAAUGGACAUUGACCUUGUUUGACCUUUACUUUGGAGACCAA